rnacentral:rRNA from 1 species
AAUAUUGUACAAUGCGGGCAACCCUGAUCCAGCCAUGCUGCGUGUGUGAAGAAGGUCUUCGGAUUGUAAAGCACUCUAAGUUGGGAGGAAGGGCUUUAGGUUAAUACCCUGAAGUUUUGACGUUACUAACAGAAUAAGCACCGGCUAAAUCUGUGCCAGCAGCCGCGGUAAUACAGAGGGUGCAAGCGUUAAUCGGAAUUACUGGGCGUAAAGCGCGCGUAGGUGGUUCAGUAAGAUGGAUGUGAAAUCCCCGGGCUUAACCUGGGAACUGCUUUCAUAACUGCUGAGCUAGAGUACGGUAGAGGGUAGUGGAAUUUCCUGUGUAGCGGUGAAAUGUGUAGAUAUAGGAAGGAACACCAGUGGCGAAGGCGACUACCUGGACUGAUACUGACACUGAGGUGCGAAAGCGUGGGGAGCAAACA